rnacentral:rRNA from 1 species
AUAAUGGGUCAGCGACUUAUAUUCUGUAGCAAGGUUAACCGAAUAGGGGAGCCGAAGGGAAACCGAGUCUUAACUGGGCGUUAAGUUGCAGGGUAUAGACCCGAAACCCGGUGAUCUAGCCAUGGGCAGGUUGAAGGUUGGGUAACACUAACUGGAGGACCGAACCGACUAAUGUUGAAAAAUUAGCGGAUGACUUGUGGCUGGGGGUGAAAGGCCAAUCAAACCGGGAGAUAGCUGGUUCUCCCCGAAAGCUAUUUAGGUAGCGCCUCGUGAAUUCAUCUCCGGGGGUAGAGCACUGUUUCGGCAAGGGGGUCAUCCCGACUUACCAACCCGAUGCAAACUGCGAAUACCGGAGAAUGUUAUCACGGGAGACACACGGCGGGUGCUAACGUCCGUCGUGAAGAGGGAAACAACCCAGACCGCCAGCUAAGGUCCCAAAGUCAUGGUUAAGUGGGAAACGAUGUGGGAAGGCCCAGACAGCCAGGAUGUUGGCUUAGAAGCAGCCAUCAUUUAAAGAAAGCGUAAUAGCUCACUGGUCGAGUCGGCCUGCGCGGAAGAUGUAACGGGGCUAAACCAUGCACCGAAGCUGCGGCAGCGACGCUGAUGCGUUGUUGGGUAGGGGAGCGUUCUGUAAGCCUGUGAAGGUGUGCUGUGAGGCAUGCUGGAGGUAUCAGAAGUGCGAAUGCUGACAUAAGUAACGAUAAAGCGGGUGAAAAGCCCGCUCGCCGGAAGACCAAGGGUUCCUGUCCAACGUUAAUCGGGGCAGGGUGAGUCGACCCCUAAGGCGAGGCCGAAAGGCGUAGUCGAUGGGAAACAGGUUAAUAUUCCUGUACUUGGUGUUACUGCGAAGGGGGGACGGAGAAGGCUAUGUUGGCCGGGCGACGGUUGUCCCGGUUUAAGCGUGUAGGCUGGUUUUCCAGGCAAAUCCGGAAAAUCAAGGCUGAGGCGUGAUGACGAGGCACUACGGUGCUGAAGCAACAAAUGCCCUGCUUCCAGGAAAAGCCUCUAAGCAUCAGGUAACAUCAAAUCGUACCCCAAACCGACACAGGUGGUCAGGUAGAGAAUACCAAGGCGCUUGAGAGAACUCGGGUGAAGGAACUAGGCAAAAUGGUGCCGUAACUUCGGGAGAAGGCACGCUGAUAUGUAGGUGAAGUCCCUCGCGGAUGGAGCUGAAAUCAGUCGAAGAUACCAGCUGGCUGCAACUGUUUAUUAAAAACACAGCACUGUGCAAACACGAAAGUGGACGUAUACGGUGUGACGCCUGCCCGGUGCCGGAAGGUUAAUUGAUGGGGUCAGCGCAAGCGAAGCUCUUGAUCGAAGCCCCGGUAAACGGCGGCCGUAACUAUAACGGUCCUAAGGUAGCGAAAUUCCUUGUCGGGUAAGUUCCGACCUGCACGAAUGGCGUAAUGAUGGCCAGGCUGUCUCCACCCGAGACUCAGUGAAAUUGAACUCGCUGUGAAGAUG